UACGUAGGGUGCAAGCGUUAAUCGGAAUUACUGGGCGUAAAGCGUGCGCAGGCGGUUAUGCAAGACAGAUGUGAAAUCCCCGGGCUUAACCUGGGAACCGCAUUUGUGACUGCAUAGCUGGAGUACGGCAGAGGGGGAUGGAAUUCCGCGUGUAGCAGUGAAAUGCGUAGAUAUCUGGAGGAACACCGGUGGCGAAGGCGGCAUCCUGGACCAUUACUGACACUGAUAAGCGAAAGCCAGGGGAGCAAACGGG
rnacentral:rRNA from 1 species